UCAGCCUCCUGAGUGGCUGGGACUGCAGCCUCGAUCUUCCGUUUAUUAAGAGGUGGUGCAGCUGGAUGCAGUGGCUCAUGCCUGUAAUCCCAGCGCUUUGGGAGGCCUGGAUGGGAGGAUUGCAUGAGCCUGGGAGAUCAAGACCAGCCUGGGCAACAUAGGGAGGCCCCACCACUACAAAAAAUAAAAAAAGCAGCUGGGUGUAGUGGCAUGUGCCUGUAGUCCCAGCUACAUAGAAGGGAGGCCGAGACAGGAGGAUCGCUUGAGCCUGGAGACCAAGGCUAUGAGGCCAAGUGAGCUAUGAUCUUGUUACUGCACUCCAGCCUGGGCAACAGAGUGAGACCCUAUAUGAAAAAGAAAAAACGAUUAAUGAGAUGGAAGUGCAGUGUCUCAUACGCUUGCCUAUUCUGUUCCGGCUGGCUCAGCCUUCCUGGCCUCUGCUUCCCUUUCUGCACUACUUCAGGGCUCCUUCACCUGGUCCUGGCUGACCCUGCCUUGAGGGAUGAGGCUGGUUGGGACUCCGGCCAGGUCAGGAUCACAACCUCUGGGGCCUGUGGUGGUCGCACCUCCCCCUGGAGCCCAGGGAAUGUGUCCUACGGCCUCUGAAGUCCCGCCUUGGUUGGACAGGAGGGUUUCUCUUUUUUUUUUUUUUUUUUUUGAGACAAGAUGUUGCUCUGUCACUCAGUGGCACAGUCAGCUCACUGCAGCCUCCAUCUUCCAGGAUCAAGUCAUCCUCCCAC
rnacentral:lncRNA from 1 species